GUGUCAGCAGCCGCGGUAAAACGUAGGAGGCGAGCGUUAUCCGGAUUUACUGGGUGUAAAGCGCAUGCAGGCGGUUGGCUAAGUUGGAUGUGAAAGCUCCUGGCUUAACUGGGAGAGGUCGUUCAAGACUGGUCGACUCGAGGAUGGUAAGGGAAAGCGGAAUUCCGGGUGUAGUGGUGAAAUGCGUAGAUAUCCGGAGGAACACCAGUGGCGAAGGCGGCUUUCUGGACCAUGACUGACGCUCAGAUGCGAAAGCUAGGGUAGCAAACGGGAUUAGAUACCCCUGUAGUCC
rnacentral:rRNA from 1 species